ACUGCAGAACAAUCACUUUCA
rnacentral:miRNA from 1 species